rnacentral:lncRNA from 1 species
UGUAGCAAGUUUCACAAAGUAAAAAACAAAAAUUAAAGACAAGCACUCCAUAUCUGAAAUUACAAGAAAUGACCUAAAACUAAAUAUCUAUUUUCCUAGGCAGCACACACUUGACCACCAUAGCAGCUUGCCGGACCGUUGUAUCUGUGGAGCACAAAACAACAGUCAGCAUGAUUAGAAAUUUUAAGGAGAGCAGUGCUAGUUUAAGAGUUAUGAACAGAUAUAAAUGGUGCAUAAAUUCCUAUUAUUCAACAAACAUAAGUUAUUUCCAAGUGAAACAUGGGGCAAUGUUAUCCACUUCAAAACAGAACAGAACACAUAGGUACACACAUUGUAAAGUUUUUUCCACAAAUGAGUUACUGAUUGAGUUCAAGAAAUGACCAAGGGCCUAAUUGGUUCACAGGACCUAAAAACUCAUAAAUAGGGAAAUCACUGGGUUGCAAUGUCAUGCCCUCUCUUGAUACAAUAUGUUCGACAUGAUGUUUGAGUGCAUCAUAGAAAACCAUAGGAGUUUUUCAAGGAUGCAUAUUACAAUCAUAUGGAAUAAUUUGAAGCAGAGAGGCCCCAAAAGGGGAAAUCAUGUUGUGUGGGAAAAGAGAAUACCAUUCACCGUAAUGAAAAAUAUAGCAUGCCAGAAUCACUAUUCUAGAGCACAUAUCCGUACCAAAACAUUUAUAGUGUUUCCAACUCUUCUAAGCAUGUUAGAACACUAUGAGGACAAUAAAAUUGAGUUAUCUAAGCAAUUUGAUAAUCAAAUGGAGUUAACACGGGCCCCAGGGUUAGGGAUUUAGUGACGGCAACAGUCUGCCAGCCGGCUUCCUCAAUAGAAGGGACAGACCCAGUGCUAGAAGCAGAACAAGAACGUUGAUACACAAGAUAAGCACAAGCCCUUGAGAGCAGUCUGCUUGGCAGAACAAUUAAUUAACCUCUAGAAGCAGAAGAAGCACAUUGAUAGACAAGUUAUUAUGAAGAACCAACCUUGAGAGCGGUCUGCUUGCGCAAGAUAUCAUUGGACUUGAACAUGACUGCGGCAAUCCAGAUCAUGACAAAGAAACCUACACAAUUUAAACUCAAUUGGAAUGAGG